AAUCUGGUUGAUCCUGCCAGUAGUCAUAUGCUUGUCUCAAAGACUAAGCCAUGCACGUCUAAGUACAAACUAAAUGAUGGUGAAACUGCAAAUGGCUCAUUACAACGGUUAUGAUGUACCCGGGAGUUCCGAUGGAUAUUUCCAGUAACACUAGAACUAAUACAUGUCCCUGCGUUUAUUAGUUUCGCACAGUCCGUCGCUGAGUCAUGGUAAACAGUUGAUCGACUCGACGUCCCGGAACAGUUUCCGCCCCAUCAGCUUCGAUGGUUGGGUAUUGGCCUACCAUUGCAACAACGGGUAACGAGGAAUUAGGGUUUGAUUUCGGAGAGGGAGCCUGAGAAACGGCUACCACAUCUACGGAUGGCAGCAGGCGCGCAAAUUACCCAAUGCAGACACUGUGAGGUAGUGACGAGAAAUAAUAAAGCGGGACUUCUGUUUCGCUAUUAUAAUGAGGAAUAACCAAAGGUCAUUCCGAUUAGCAACUGAUGGGAAAGUCUGGUGCCAGCAGCCGCGGUAAUACCAGCGUCAGUAGCAUAUAUUAAAAUUGUUGCAGUUAAAACGUCCGUAGUCUGUACGUCGUCCCAAACUCACUGUAGUCUUUCGUUUUCUUAAUUGAAUGCGGUAGUUUCUGCAGUCACUCCCUUGAUCAAAUUAGGUUGUUCAAGGUAGACCAAGUCUUCAUAUUUUCACAUGGAAUUGGGUGAGGGAACUUAAGAGUUUAAGUUUCUCGUCUUAGGAUCAUCCGGGGUCAUUCGUACUCGUCCGCGAGAGGUGAAAUUCUUGGACCGGACGAAGACGACCAGCAGCGAAAGCAUCUGUCAGGGAUGUUUUCUGCGACAAAGGACGAAGGUCAGGGUAUCGAAGACGAUUAGAUACCGUCGUAGUCCUGACUGUAAACUAUGCCAACUUGGGUCUUGCUGGGCGAUGCUUUGUGAGACCCACACAGAAAUGAAAGUGUAUGGGUUCUGGGGGUAGUAUGGACACAAGUCUGAAACUUGAAGGAAUUGACGGAAGAGCACCAUAAGACGUGGAGCUUGCGGCUUAAUUUGACUCAACGCGGGAAAACUUACCAGGUCAAGACAUGGGCGUGAUUGACAGGCUAAUGACUUUUCUCGAUUCCAUGGAUGGUGGUGCAUGGUCGCACUUAGUUGGUGCAGUGAUUUGUCAGGUUUAUUCCGGUAACGAACGAGACCUCAACCUA
rnacentral:rRNA from 1 species